rnacentral:rRNA from 1 species
UAAACCAUGCACCGAAGCUGCGGCAGCGACGCUUAUGCGUUGUUGGGUAGGGGAGCGUUCUGUAAGCCUGUGAAGGUGUGCUGUGAGGUAUGCUGGAGGUAUCAGAAGUGCGAAUGCUGACAUAAGUAACGAUAAAGCGGGUGAAAAGCCCGCUCGCCGGAAGACCAAGGGUUCCUGUCCAACGUUAAUCGGGGCAGGGUGAGUCGACCCCUAAGGCGAGGCCGAAAGGCGUAGUCGAUGGGAAACAGGUUAAUAUUCCUGUACUUGGUGUUACUGCGAAGGGGGGACGGAGAAGGCUAUGUUGGCCGGGCGACGGUUGUCCCGGUUUAAGCGUGUAGGCUGGUUUUCCAGGCAAAUCCGGAAAAUCAAGGCCGAGGCGUGAUGACGAGGCACUACGGUGCUGAAGCAACAAAUGCCCUGCUUCCAGGAAAAGCCUCUAAGCAUCAGGUAACAUCAAAUCGUACCCCAAACCGACACAGGUGGUCAGGUAGAGAAUACCAAGGCGCUUGAGAGAACUCGGGUGAAGGAACUAGGCAAAAUGGUGCCGUAACUUCGGGAGAAGGCACGCUGAUACGUAGGUGAAGCGACUUGCUCGUGGAGCUGAAAUCAGUCGAAGAUACCAGCUGGCUGCAACUGUUUAUUAAAAACACAGCACUGUGCAAACACGAAAGUGGACGUAUACGGUGUGACGCCUGCCCGGUGCCGGAAGGUUAAUUGAUGGGGUUAGCGCAAGCGAAGCUCUUGAUCGAAGCCCCGGUAAACGGCGGCCGUAACUAUAACGGUCCUAAGGUAGCGAAAUUCCUUGUCGGGUAAGUUCCGACCUGCACGAAUGGCGUAAUGAUGGCCAGGCUGUCUCCACCCGAGACUCAGUGAAAUUGAACUCGCUGUGAAGAUGCAGUGUACCCGCGGCAAGACGGAAAGACCCCGUGAACCUUUACUAUAGCUUGACACUGAACAUUGAGCCUUGAUGUGUAGGAUAGGUGGGAGGCUUUGAAGUGUGGACGCCAGUCUGCAUGGAGCCGACCUUGAAAUACCACCCUUUAAUGUUUGAUGUUCUAACGUGGACCCGUGAUCCGGGUUGCGGACAGUGUCUGGUGGGUAGUUUGACUGGGGCGGUCUCCUCCUAAAGAGUAACGGAGGAGCACGAAGGUUGGCUAAUCCUGGUCGGACAUCAGGAGGUUAGUGCAAUGGCAUAAGCCAGCUUGACUGCGAGCGUGACGGCGCGAGCAGGUGCGAAAGCAGGUCAUAGUGAUCCGGUGGUUCUGAAUGGAAGGGCCAUCGCUCAACGGAUAAAAGGUACUCCGGGGAUAACAGGCUGAUACCGCCCAAGAGUUCAUAUCGACGGCGGUGUUUGGCACCUCGAUGUCGGCUCAUCACAUCCUGGGGCUGAAGUAGGUCCCAAGGGUAUGGCUGUUCGCCAUUUAAAGUGGUACGCGAGCUGGGUUUAGAACGUCGUGAGACAGUUCGGUCCCUAUCUGCCGUGGGCGCUGGAGAACUGAGGGGGGCUGCUCCUAGUACGAGAGGACCGGAGUGGACGCAUCACUGGUGUUCGGGUUGUCAUGCCAAUGGCACUGCCCGGUAGCUAAAUGCGGAAGAGAUAAGUGCUGAAAGCAUCUAAGCACGAAACUUGCCCCGAGAUGAGUUCUCCCUGACCCUUUAAGGGUCCUGAAGGAACGUUGAAGACGACGACGUUGAUAGGCCGGGUGUGUAAGCGCAGCGAUGCGUUGAGCUAACCGGUACUAAUGAACCGUGAGGCUUAACCUUACAACGCCGAAG